UGAGCGGCGGAUGGGUGAGUAACACGUGGGGAACCUGCCCCAUAGUCUGGGAUACCACUUGGAAACAGGUGCUAAUACCGGAUAAGAAAGCAGAUCGCAUGAUCAGCUUUUAAAAGGCGGCGUAAGCUGUCGCUAUGGGAUGGCCCCGCGGUGCAUUAGCUAGUUGGUAAGGUAAAGGCUUACCAAGGCGAUGAUGCAUAGCCGAGUUGAGAGACUGAUCGGCCACAUUGGGACUGAGACACGGCCCAAACCCCUACGGGAGGCAGCAGUAGGGAAUCUUCCACAAUGGACGCAAGUCUGAUGGAGCAACGCCGCGUGAGUGAAGAAGGUUUUCGGAUCGUAAAGCUCUGUUGUUGGUGAAGAAGGAUAGAGGUAGUAACUGGCCUUUAUUUGACGGUAAUCAACCAGAAAGUCACGGCUAACUACGUGCCAGCAGCCGCGGUAAUACGUAGGUGGCAAGCGUUGUCCGGAUUUAUUGGGCGUAAAGCGAGCGCAGGCGGAAGAAUAAGUCUGAUGUGAAAGCCCUCGGCUUAACCGAGGAACUGCAUCGGAAACUGUUUUUCUUGAGUGCAGAAGAGGAGAGUGGAACUCCAUGUGUAGCGGUGGAAUGCGUAGAUAUAUGGAAGAACACCAGUGGCGAAGGCGGCUCUCUGGUCUGCAACUGACGCUGAGGCUCGAAAGCAUGGGUAGCGAACAGGAUUAGAUACCCUGGCAGUCCAUGCCGUAAACGAUGAGUGCUAAGUGUUGGGAGGUUUCCGCCUCUCAGUGCUGCAGCUAACGCAUUAAGCACUCCGCCUGGGGAGUACGACCGCAAGGUUGAAACUCAAAGGAAUUGACGGGGGCCCGCACAAGCGGUGGAGCAUGUGGUUUAAUUCGAAGCAACGCGAAGAACCUUACCAGGUCUUGACAUCUAGUGCCAUUUGUA
rnacentral:rRNA from 1 species